GUUGACAGAUCCUUCUGGACUCUUGAAGCUUAUUAAAGUGGCUUGAAGUACACGAUAAUUAUUUUGCUAGAAGCCCUACAGAGUAAUGUAUCAGGCAGUAUCAGUCUGGUGAAUAACCAAAAUACAGUCUAUAGCCAGCAUGGAAUUGAAAACCUACAGUCUUUGAAGAAUGAGAAAAUGAUUUGCAGUUUGCUGAAAGGCAGUUUUGAAGUAGGCAUCUGACUUUAAUCUGUAAAAUACAGAUUAUAUAAUUCAUAUUUUUGCCUUGCCAUCAGAAAACUGUAAUUGUGCAGAUCUCUGGAAUAAUUGAUUCUUAUUGCAGCAAUGAAUAGUUAAAUUAUUUUGUAUGACCAAUAAACUAGAUAAUUCACCAUGGCAGCAUACCAGAUGGGCUUUUCGGCAUGAAAAUGGAUUAUUACCAUUUGCAUAACCACAGUAUAGUGUGAUAAAAGGAUAGCCUAAUAAUGUACAGUCAGCAGUUCCCAUUUCAUUGAGGAAAUGGCGGGAAAACAUCUUACCAGUGAUGUCAUAAAUCAUCAGAGGACGUUGCAUCAGAGUUGAAAUACUAAUCAGGUAAAGUGGUUUCAACAAGGCUUGUUUAAACCCAUAAACAAGUCGCCAUCUUAGCAGCAAAGAGCUGGUUUCUGGAACCACGCCCACCUAGCAAGACAUUGGUGACAGCAGUGGCUAUCCACCUGUCACUCAAGUGGCCACGCCCUUAAUUAUGCUGAACUUUAAAGCAUAAUAUAAUUUAAACGGAUGAGUUAUAAAGAAAUUCACCCCCCUCACAGUUGUCAUGAAGGGCAA